AGGAGGAAGGCUCGGAGGCGGUGGCGGCGGGUGACAGGUGCCUCGGCGGUGGCGGCCCUCGGCAGACAUGAUUGCCGCGGUGGCUGCGCGCCGGAGCGUGACUUUACAACUAAUCCUGUUUGUAGGAAAACUAAGAUUAAAUCACCUGCUCAAACUCACUCAGCAUGAACUGGCGGUGUAGCCCGUGGGAGAGCAUUUCAUGGCAGGCCUGAGACCCUGGGUUCUAACCCAACACUGAUAAAGAAAAGAAGUACAGGAUUUCACUGUGCAGCCCUGGCUGGCCUGGAACUUGCUAUGCAGACCAGGCUGACCUUGAACACACAGAGAUCGCCCUGCUUCUGCCUGCCAAGAGCCAGAAUUGAAAGCCUGAGACACCAUGCCUAAUGCUGGAUCAA